GAGCAAACAGGAUUAGAUACCCUGGUAGUCCACGCCGUAAACGAUGUCGACUUGGAGGUUGUGCCCUUGAGGCGUGGCUUCCGGAGCUAACGCGUUAAGUCGACCGCCUGGGGAGUACGGCCGCAAGGUUAAAACUCAAAUGAAUUGACGGGGGCCCGCACAAGCGGUGGAGCAUGUGGUUUAAUUCGAUGCAACGCGAAGAACCUUACCUGGCCUUGACAUCCAGAGAACUUAGCAGAGAUGCUUUGGUGCCUUCGGGAACUCUGAGACAGGUGCUGCAUGGCUGUCGUCAGCUCGUGUUGUGAAAUGUUGGGUUAAGUCCCGCAACGAGCGCAACCCUUAUCCUUUGUUGCCAGCGGCUCGGCCGGGAACUCAAAGGAGACUGCCGGUGAUAAACCGGAGGAAGGUGGGGAUGACGUCAAGUCAUCAUGGCCCUUACGGCCAGGGCUACACACGUGCUACAAUGGCGCAUACAAAGAGAAGCGACCUCGCGAGAGCAAGCGGACCUCAUAAAGUGCGUCGUAGUCCGGAUUGGAGUCUGCAACUCGACUCCAUGAAGUCGGAAUCGCUAGUAAUCGUAGAUCAGAAUGCUACGGUGAAUACGUUCCCGGGCCUUGUACACACCGCCCGUCACACCAUGGGAGUGGGUUGCAAAAGAAGUAGGUAGCUUAACCUU
rnacentral:rRNA from 2 species